rnacentral:rRNA from 1 species
GAUGAACGCUGGCGGCGUGCCUAAUACAUGCAAGUCGAGCGAACAGGCGAGGAGCUUGCUCCUUUGACGUUAGCGGCGGACGGGUGAGUAACACGUAGGUAACCUACCUAUAAGACUGGGAUAACUUCGGGAAACCGGAGCUAAUACCGGAUAAUAUUUCGAACCGCAUGGUUCGAUAGUGAAAGAUGGCUUUGCUAUCACUUAUAGAUGGACCUGCGCCGUAUUAGCUAGUUGGUAAGGUAACGGCUUACCAAGGCAACGAUACGUAGCCGACCUGAGAGGGUGAUCGGCCACACUGGAACUGAGACACGGUCCAGACUCCUACGGGAGGCAGCAGUAGGGAAUCUUCCGCAAUGGGCGAAAGCCUGACGGAGCAACGCCGCGUGAGUGAUGAAGGUCUUCGGAUCGUAAAACUCUGUUAUUAGGGAAGAACAAAAGUGUAAGUAACUGUGCACGUCUUGACGGUACCUAAUCAGAAAGCCACGGCUAACUACGUG